UCAGCUGGAUAGCUCAGUUGGUUAGAGCAUGGUGAUGAUAAUGCCAAGGUUGUAGGUUUGAUCUCUGUAGGGACAGCUGCA